GGUUGUGUAGUGUAGUGGUUAUCACAUCAGAUUUUGAUGAUGGGCAGUUGUUCCGCGUAGCAAACGUUCUGGAUACCUGGGUUCGAAUCCCAGCACGACCU